rnacentral:ncRNA from 1 species
CGAGAUUGAGCAAUAACAUGUCUGUGAUUCCCUUAGAUGUUCUGGGCCGCACUCGCGCUACACUAAAGGAAUCAGCGUGUGUUCCCUGGCCAAAAGGCCCGGGUAACCCGCUGAACCUCCUUCCUGCUAGGGAUUGGGGCUUGCAAUUGUUCCCCUUGAACGAGGAAUUCCCAGUAAGCGCGAGUCAUAAGCUCGCGUUGAUUACGUCCCUGCCGUUUGUACACACCGCCCGUCGCUACUACCGAUUGAAUGAUUUAGUGAGGUCUUCGGACUGGUGAGCGGCAAUGCGUCGGCAUUGCCGAUGUUGCCGGGAAGAUGACCAAACCUGAUCAUUUAGAGGAAGUAAAAGUCGUAACAAGGUUUCCGUAGGUGAACCUGCGGAAGGAUCGUUA